rnacentral:lncRNA from 1 species
GUUGUUUUGUUUUUAGCAGCUCAACAUAUCUUUUCAUUGUUCCAUCUUGAGAUGGUUUCCUUUCUUCAAUUGAAUUUUCUUAACUUCCAUUUAAUGGGAGACAAAGUAGAAAAGUUUCUCUGCUUUCUAAAUGCAUCUUAUGUCUGGAAAUAAGUUCUCACCUAUUCCUAUAGAAAAGCAAAUUGUUGAUACAUGCAGUGAAGAGCAUGUGAUAAACACAUGUAGCUUGAAUUUGUUGUACUGAUGGCUGUGCUAUUGCCAUGAGAAGUGCUUUCAUUUUAUCAUAGAGCUCACCAAAUAUUUCAGACCUCAGCUGGCUUUGUACUGGGGACUUUCUAAUACCCUUACAAGGUUUUCACAUACUGUAUUUUUGCUAAUGGUCAUCUUUUUCACUGUUUUCUCAUGGAAUUCUGAAUUUAGCCCCGCCCUUCAAAUUUAAAAAAAAAAAAAAAACCAACAGGAAGGCAGCCUUUAUGGGGACUUGGUCUAUUCUAAGCCAUGUGUAUCUUGAGUCUCUUAAGUAUCAUACAAAUAAUAACAUUCUGGUUAAUAAUAUUCAUAAUUAUUAGCAAAUGCAACUAACAGUGAUAGUCACAAUACGUGAUUUGUUAAAUGCAACAGGUGCCCCAUCAGUUAGACAUUGUGGCCUCACACCUAUAAUCCCAGAAUCUGAGAGACUGAGAGGCAUGAAGAUUGUAGCCUAUGCUGGCCUCAAACUCAGCAAUUCAUAAGUAAGACCAUAUCUUUGGAUUUCUUCAUUGUCUCUUUCUUUGUCCCCAUUUCUUUUUUUCUUUUUCUUUUUCUUUUUUCCUUCUCGCUCUGGCUCUGCUCACUCCAGCCCUGCUUGCUCCAACCCCACUCACUUUAGCCCAAGGAUUGAUUUGUUUGAUUGAUUGAUUGAUUAUAUGAGUACACUAUAGCUGUCUUCAGAUGCACCAGAAGAGGGCCUCAGCUCUCAUUACAGAUGGUUGUGAGCCACCAUGUGGUUGUUGAGAUUUGAACUCAUGACCUCUGGAAGAGCAGUCAGUACUCUUAACUGCUGAGCCAUCUCUCCAGCCCCUUCAUAUCUUUGAAACAAAUAAAUAAAAAUCCCUUAUCUCUGGUUUCAAUUACCCACAUUCAACUUUGUUUUGAAAAUAUGAAAUGAAAAAUUUCAGAAUCAAACUAUUGGUCAGUUUUAGAUUUCAUAACAUUCUGAGUCAUGUGAUGAACCAUCUAGAAUGUGAGUCACUCCUUUGUAUAAUGCAUUUGUUUACACUGUACAUUUCCUCCCCAUUAGUCACUUAGUGUUGGUUCUCAAAUUGACUAUUAUGGUAUCAUAGUGCUGUGUUCAAGAAACCCUUCAUUUAGCCAAUAAUGCCCCAGUAUGUAAGAGUAUUAAAGCUGCCACUUGGGAUAUACC